CACGUAGGGCGCAAGCGUUGUCCGGAAUUAUUGGGCGUAAAGAGCUCGUAGGCGGUCUGUUGCGUCGGCUGUGAAAACCCGAGGCUCAACCUCGGGCCUGCAGUCGAUACGGGCAAACUAGAGUACUGCAGGGGAGACUGGAAUUCCUGGUGUAGCGGUGAAAUGCGCAGAUAUCAGGAGGAACACCGGUGGCGAAGGCGGGUCUCUGGGCAGUAACUGACGCUGAGGAGCGAAAGCGUGGGGAGCGAACAGG
rnacentral:rRNA from 1 species